rnacentral:rRNA from 1 species
UACGUAGGGGGCAAGCGUUGUCCGGAAUCAUUGGGCGUAAAGAGCGUGUAGGCGGACUUAAAGGUCUGGUGUGAAAGCCCGGGGCUCAACCCCGGAGGGUCACUGGAAACCAUAAGUCUUGAAUCUGGAAGAGGAGAGUGGAAUUCCUGGUGUAUCGGUGGAAUGCGCAGAUAUCAGGAGGAACACCAAUGGCGAAGGCAGCUCUCUGGUACAUGAUUGACGCUGAGACGCGAAAGCGUGGGGAGCGAACAGG